UACGUAGGGCGCAAGCGUUUAUCCGGAAUUAUUGGGCGUAAAGAGCUCGUAGGCGGUUUUGUCGCGUCUGCCGUGAAAAGUCCGGGGGCUCAACUCCGGAUCUGCGGUGGGGUACGGGCAGACUAGAGUGAUGUAGGGGGAGACUGGAAUUCCUGGUGUAGCGGUGAAAAUGCGCAGAUAUCAGGAGGAACACCGGUGGCGAAGGCGGGACUCUGGGCCGAUACUGACGCUGAGGUGCGAAAAGCGUGGGGGAGCGAACAGG
rnacentral:rRNA from 1 species